GAGACCUUUUGUGUAUUAAAAACACCAGAAAACUUGUUCUAGUUGAAAAAAUCAACCCGUUUUUUCCGACUGAAAAGUUGGCAAAAAAUAAGUGAAGUUAAUCUUUAAUGAACGACAACUGUAAAUCAUUUUCCAAACUUAAUAAAUUUCGAAUCUUGAAUGUUUAUUUCAUAUAAUUUGUUUACUUUCCAUCAUGCUGUAUUGUUGUCGCUCAGAUGCACACAGAUAUGCGUAAACACUUGAGCAAAGUUAUAUAAAACCAUUAAUCAAAUUUGAUGAUUACCUCUUCACAUGUCUUUCAGUACGAAAAAUUGUGUUGAAACUUUGUUAAAAGGUGUUUUUUUCUGAACAAAAAAACAAUUGGAAAUAUUUUUAAGCGAAUAACGUAAAACUGAAGGUUAAUUAAACAUGACCAAUCUGGCAAGUACAUUAUGACUAAUUAAUUAUUUAUUUUGGGGUUAAUAUACUGUCUGGGAACGUAGAUUUUUGUGAUAAUUUAAGUAGUUUAUCAUUUGACCUUUUGCCCUUAAAAGUAAAUCAACUAGAUUGAUUUCUCUACUUGUUACAUUUCUGUGGUGCUUCGUAGAAAAGUAGCAACUGCGAUUUGCCGGCUUAACACACUUUUUCGAGGAAGAUUACUCUGAAGAAGUAUUCAGUAAAUUUGUGAGACCAGUGAAUUGAAUCUUCCAAGCUUUUAUAUUAACUAAGCGAGGCUGUUAUCAAAUGUUGCCAAACCUGGUCUUAGCAUCUUGGUGAGUUGUAGCUAGAAUUUUGCAUGCGAUGAAUGCGUCUUGUGAAAAAGAGAUUUUUGUUUAUUUGAAUUCUACAAAUGCAUGCAUUUUAAACAAGUUUUGCUCAUUUAUUCAAGAA